ACAACAUUACUUAGUGUAUUUAUAAUUAACAACAUUAUUUAGUGUAAUAUCUCUCGCCUCCCCGAAACCUGUGUCUACAAACACUUGCCGUGCACUACAUUGCUCUUAUUUACUCUGCCGUAAGGCACUACAGUUUUAUUUUUCGCCGACUGGCGACGUAUGACCUCCGGGCUUAAGGGGGAGAGAAAAAAAAGGCUCUUGGCAAGAACGAGGAGCAUACGGGCCGCGUGCUGUCGCUGCCCCUAACCCAACAAGGAAACCACCGACAGUCAGCUGUUUCUUGAUAGCCGGGAGAUAAGGAGCCUUCCUGUACUGCUCAAGUCCCUACUCUUUGUUCAACCUUGACGAGCGGACGUCUUGACACUUGCUUCGCCUGGGAACUGCUGGAUCUGGUUGUUUUGCGAUUUACAUACAACAUAACCUAAGAGUCUCAACAACGCAGAGUAAAUGGAGCCUAUAAAAAAUAACGAAGAGAAGGCACGAGAGCUACUCAAAUCAAGACAAUA